ensembl:lncRNA
CAGAGAGGUCUGCAGCAUCACAUGACCACAGAGAGGUCUGUAGCAUCACAUGACCACAGAGAGGUCUGUAGCAUCACAUGACUACAGGAGGUCGGCAGCAUCACAUGACCACAGAGGUCUGCAGCAUCACAUGACCACAGAGGUCUGUAGCAUCACAUGACCACAGAGAGGUCUGCAGCAUCACUCGACCACAGACUGACUAGAUGUGUGGAUGAAAUAAGACGGAUGAUGCGUUUGUGAUGCGGUUGCGGAUAAAAUAAUAACCCAUCCGCGCAUCUCUAGUGUGUUUGUUUUAUGUGUAUGUGUGUGAGUGUAUAAUGUGUGUGUGUGUGUGUGUGUGUGUGUAUAAUGUGUUUGUGUGUGUGUAUGUGUGUGUAGUGUACCACAUGAAGGCGGACGGCUGGGUGAAGGUGUGUAAGGAGGACGUCUCAGAGCUGAUCCACAGAUACAGGAAGGACAUGUUCUGACCUCUGACCUCCCACCUGGAGCCCCAUGUGACCCGGCCAGAGGACGGGCUCCUGAUCAACUCUCAUCAUCACAUCACUCAUGAUCACCGAACGUCGUGUCCAGGAAUGUUUUAAUAAAGCGCAGAGAGCAGAACACUGGGACUCCUGUGAGCUCAUUACACCAAACAUACUCAACGCCUUUAGUUCCAGCUCGUU